CGUAGGGUGCGAGCGUUAAUCGGAAUUACUGGGCGUAAAGCGUGCGCAGGCGGUUUUGUAAGACAGAUGUGAAAUCCCCGGGCUCAACCUGGGACCUGCAUUUGUGACUGCAAGGCUAGAGUACGGUAGAGGGGGAUGGAAUUCCGCGUGUAGCAGUGAAAUGCGUAGAUAUGCGGAGGAACACCGAUGGCGAAGGCAAUCCCCUGGACCUGUACUGACGCUCAUGCACGAAAGCGUGGGGAGCAAACAGGAUUAGAUACCCUGGUAGUCCACGCCCUAAACGAUGUCAACUGGUUGUUGGGUCUUUACUGACUCAGUAACGAAGCUAACGCGUGAGUUGACCGCCUGGGAGUACGGCCGCAAGGUUG
rnacentral:rRNA from 1 species